UCUUCCUUCCUCUCCUUCUCUUUCCUUCCUCCCUCCCUCCCUCCCUCUCAUCCUCAAAUUCCUGCGCCUGUCCCAGCGACUCCAGCAUCACCCGAGGUCCCUUGCCCGCUUCUCUGCCCUUCCGCUUGCUAUGCAGAAUCAACCGGAGGCGUCAGAAGAAAACCGUUUUGUCAAACCACAACUUCUCUUGGUUACUACUAGUUAGUAGUAGUAGUAGUACUACUACUACUACCAGUCAGCCCAGGAAUAAAUUCUUCUGCCCAUCCCCACCACGUUCUGUUGCUUUGCUUUGUCGUCGCCUGGUGAUGACCUAAACUUGGAGAGAGACUGAUUGCACGUGGGGAAAGUCAGAAGGAUGCUCGCCGGCGUCCCUCCCUCCGCCCCGCCUCCGCCCCUUUGUUUCGCUGAACAGCCCCCUCCCCGUUCCAAGCAAAGAUGCUCCACCAGGAGGCGCUCUUCCAUUUUCCUACGGAGAGGCUCCGUCAUCCGGGUCUUGCUUUCCCAAAGGUGCUUUCCCAAGAGGCAGGCGGACUCACCUGGUUUUCUUCCAAGGACAAGAAAGUCUAACUUGCCUCUUGGAAAAAGCACCUUUAGGAUAUUCCGUUUUUCCGGAAACGGCUGAAAGGUGUGGAACGUCAGACCCCCUCCCCCCCGAAGGACUUUUGCACCCAUGUUUUGCAUCAAUGUCUUCUGAAGGAGGAACCGGUGGAAACAAAAGAAACCGUGGGGAUCUGCUUCACGAAUCCUGGGAUUGACAGGCCAGGACCACAGGAAGGAGGGAGAAACAUUGGAGCAAAAUGGUAAGAAGGAAAUAUCGGGUGCCUUCCUCAUUCCUCGUCACAAUGGCUGCUCUUGAUUACAUCCGUGGCGGAUCUUCCUCCUGCUUUGGAAGACAAGGGAGAUUUUCCUAGAGAGGGCUGCUUUCAGAAGCCCAAAUCUCCUGGCUAUGUGCCUGGCUUGGCCUUCCCAAGUCAAAAGGGAGCUUGUAAGCAGUCCAGAUUUGGUGUGUGUGUGUGUGUGUGUGUGUGUGUGUGUGUGUGUGUGAGUGAGUGAGUGUGGGAGUUCGCAACCUGGCAUUGUCAUUCUUAUCAAACUUGGGUAACAAUUUUGGGCACUUCACACACACAAAAACGGUACACCUUUUGGACUGCACAUCGCCUGCCUUUGGAAUUGCACGCAGUCCUCAAUGGCCACAACUGAGCCCAGUGUUUUUGUUGCUAAGUGAGGCAGUUGUUCACUGAAUUGUUGAUAAGCGAAUCUGGCUUCCCCUAUUGGACUUUGCUUGUCAGGAGACAUCUGGGAAGGUUGCAAGUGGGGAUAACCUGACCUGCGGUGUUGCAACGGUUGUAAAUACAUACUGGUGGCCAAGCACCUGACUUUUGAUCAUGCGCCACGGUUGUGAGUGUGAAAACAGGUCAUAAGUCGUUUUUUCCAGCGCAGUUGCCACUUCAAAUGGUCCUGGAUUACGUGCAGAAUGUAAAAGGCUGGACGCAGACAUGGUUGGUGAAGUGGAUGAAAAGAGACAGGUGUCAAAGGCAAGAUUCAAGAAUUCCUCCAUUAUGGAAGCAUUCCUCCUUCUUCAGAAAAACUCUAGAGCAUUGGGGGGGGGGGUCCAACCUUGGCAACUUUCAGACCUGCGGACUUCAACUCCCAGAAUUUCCCAGGAAUCAUGCAUGGCUAGCUGGGGAAUUCUGGGAGAUGAAGUCCACAUGACUUAAAAGUUGCCAAGGUUGGACACUUCUUCCUUCUUCAUAAAUAAAACCUAGGACAAAUUCAUUAGACUUGUGGGAUUGUAAGAACCAAUACCUGGACAUGAAGGGCUCUAAGCCCUGGCCAACUCUACCCCAGGAGGGUUCCCAUUCCCAUUGAUUUUCCCAUUCCCUUCUUCCUGGAAAGAGAUCGAAUCGGGGACAUCCUUGGGUGAUGUUAAAACGGCAAGCAUAACUUUAAAAAGCACCCCUGGGACAACCGUGACCUGGAUGAUGGAGAAUCUCCGUAGGCAUCUUCCUGCCCUUCUUAUAUUCAUUCUCUUGCCGGUAAAUUCUGUUCUCUGAGUUUUGUAAUGCUUGUUCCAUCUCUGUUGUCUUCUCAAGAAAGUCCAGUUGCCACUCGAAAAAUGCACCUUUCGGACAAAACUGCUCGCCAAGGCGACCUCCAGAUCACUCCGCGUAUUCUCUGGAAUUGUUUUUGCCGUCACUCUGCUUCUUCUCUGACUCUAAUAGGAACCCCGCGCAUUGCUCGAGAAUGGCAACUUCCUCUCCUCUUAUCCUGUGUUCCGGUUGUGAACUUUGGAAAAGCUGCCGCCUUCGUGGGCCUGAAGCCACUUAGUCUUAUUUUGUGCAGCUCCGGGCAUUUCGCUUUCACAAUGGCUGCCUUUUGAGGUGAAAUGAUUCAUUGGCAUUUUUUCCCCUCUGCGAGUCAGUAACCAAGCACUUAGGACACGGCCGCGUGAUUUAUCAUCAGCACAAAGCACAUAAAGUCGCUGUGCAGAGAAGGGAGCAGGAGGGGAUUGCAACCACAUAGAUGAAACAAAGAGAGGCCGGAGGAAACCGUGGUGGCCAUGCAGAUCUGGAAGUGUUGGGGGAAACUGAAUAUAUACUCAAACCUUCCUUCACCCGUUCACA